rnacentral:rRNA from 1 species
AGGAACGUGGGGGUAUCAACCUCUAACUGUAAAUACGUGUUAAGUCCGAUAGUGAACGAGUACCGCGAGGGAAAGCUGAAAAGAACCCCUACAGGGGAGUGCAAAGAACCUUAAACCUACUAGUUAUCGAAUGUUACGGGCUCUACGGAGUUCUAACGUCCGUUUUGAAUAACGGGCCAGGGAGUUUUCUCGUAUGGCGAGGAUAAGUAUCUCUGAUACGGAUCCGAAGCGAAAGCAACAAACGCGCAGGCAACGAGGCGUGUGGCACUAAUCUGCCAAAUAGUCAUAUGAGAUUGACCCGAAGCUAAGUGAUCUAAUCCUGAGUAAGGUGAAGUGGGGGUAAAACCCUGUGGAGGCCUGCAGAAGUUCUACGUGCAAGUGUUUUUCUAACUCAGGUUUAGGGGUGAAAAGCCUAUCGAACUUAGUGAUAGCUGGUUCCUACCAAAGUUGGCGUGCGUCAAGCCUUGGACAAGAUAGUUACAGCGGUAAAGAAACGGAUUUGGAGCUUAGGGGGAGAAAUCUCUCGGUUCCUUGUCCAACUCUGAAUGCAAUAACGUCAAAGCGUCCAGGAGACGGCGAUCGGGGUAAGCUUGAGUCGCGAGAGGGGAACAACCCAGACUUUAGUUAAGGUCCCUAAAUGUUCGUUCAGUGUGAAAGGGUGAAAAGUGUCUAUACACAGAGACAGCGAGGAGGUUGGCUUAGAAGCAGCCACCCUAUAAUAAGUGCGUAACAGCUUACUCGUCAAGUGUAUAGGCCUGGAAAAUGGACGGGGCUAAAUGAGCUACCGAGACUAAAGGCAUGCACAUGAGUGCAGUGCGGUAGGUAAGGUGUUCUCAGUGGGUAGAAGCAAGUCUGAAAAGAUUUGUGCACCGCUGAAGAAAUAAAAAUCCCGGUGGUAGUAGGAUCAAAGCAGUGUGAGAAUCACUGUCGCUGAAAGGGCAAGGGUUCCUUGACAAUGUACAUCAGUCAAGGGUUAGUCGAUCCUAACUGUACUUGUAACUCAAUGUACGGGAAAGGGAAAUCGGUUAAUAAUCCGAUACUAUUGUUGUAUAUGCGGUAACGCAAGUUCCAUUACUGACAUGUGGGGCUACGUGACCAUGUAAUAUCUUACAUGUUAAUCCAUGCAAAUCGCGGAAGUAUCAUUACGGUGAGAACGCGAUUAACGUUGAGAACAGCUUCCUUAUGGGGAGUGUUACCAAUGCCUUACGUCCUUGAAAAGGGAAUGGAAAUAAAUCAAUAAUAUUCGUACCCAGAACCAACACUGGUGCCCCUAGGUGAGAAACCUAAAGUUUGCAGGUGUAAUCCAAUUAAGGGAACUCGGCAAAUUAUCCCUGUGCCUUCGGUAUAAGGGGUUCCUGCU